GAGAUCAAAGAAGUUCGCGCGGGCGACAUCGCGGCUGCUAUCGGCCUGAAAGACGUGACUACCGGUGACACCCUGUGUGAUCCGGAAAACCCGAUCAUUCUGGAACGUAUGGAAUUCCCUGAGCCGGUAAUCUCCAUCGCGGUAGAACCGAAAACCAAAGCUGACCAGGAAAAAAUGGGUCUGGCUCUGGGCCGUCUGGCGAAAGAAGACCCGUCGUUCCGCGUAUGGACUGAUGAAGAAUCUAACCAGACCAUCAUCGCUGGUAUGGGUGAACUUCACCUAGAUAUCAUCGUUGACCGUAUGAAGCGUGAAUUCAACGUUGAAGCGAACGUGGGUAAACCUCAGGUUGCUUACCGCGAAGCGAUUCGCGCGAAAGUUACCGACAUCGAAGGUAAACACGCGAAACAGUCUGGUGGUCGCGGUCAGUAUGGUCAUGUUGUUAUCGACAUGUACCCGCUGGAGCCGGGCUCUAACCCGAAAGGUUACGAGUUCAUCAACGACAUCAAAGGUGGUGUAAUUCCUGGCGAGUACAUCCCGGCCGUUGAUAAAGGCAUCCAGGAGCAGCUGAAAUCUGGCCCGCUGGCGGGUUAUCCGGUAGUUGAUCUCGGUGUGCGUCUGCACUUCGGUUCUUACCAUGACGUUGACUCCUCUGAGCUGGCGUUUAAACUGGCUGCGUCUAUCGCCUUUAAAGAAGGCUUUAAGAAAGCAAAACCAGUUCUGCUUGAGCCGAUCAUGAAGGUUGAAGUAGAAACACCUGAAGAGAAUACCGGUGACGUUAUCGGCGACCUUAGCCGCCGUCGUGGUAUGCUCAAAGGUCAGGAAUCUGAAGUUACAGGCGUUAAGAUCCACGCUGAAGUACCGCUGUCUGAAAUGUUCGGAUAUGCAACUCAGCUGCGUUCUCUGACCAAAGGUCGCGCAUCGUACACUAUGGAAUUCCUGAAGUAUGAUGAUGCGCCGAACAACGUUGCUCAGGCCGUAAUCGAAGCCCGUGGUAAAUAAGCCGCAGGGUUAAAAACCAAAAUCCCGUGCUCUCUCCUGAAGGGGAGAGCGCUAUAGUAAGGAAUAUAGCCGUGUCUAAAGAAAAAUUUGAACGUACAAAACCGCACGUUAACGUCGGCACCAUCGGCCACGUUGACCACGGUAAAACUACCCUGACCGCUGCAAUCACCACCGUACUGGCUAAAACCUACGGCGGUGCUGCUCGUGCAUUCGACCAGAUCGAUAACGCUCCGGAAGAAAAAGCGCGUGGUAUCACCAUCAACACUUCUCACGUUGAAUACGAUACCCCGACNUUGAUGGGGUCAGCGCAAGCGAAGCUCCUGAUCGAAGCCCCGGUAAACGGCGGCCGUAACUAUAACGGUCCUAAGGUAGCGAAAUUCCUUGUCGGGUAAGUUCCGACCUGCACGAAUGGCGUAAUGAUGGCCAGGCUGUCUCCACCCGAGACUCAGUGAAAUUGAACUCGCUGUGAAGAUGCAGUGUACCCGCGGCAAGACGGAAAGACCCCGUGAACCUUUACUAUAGCUUGACACUGAACAUUGAGCCUUGAUGUGUAGGAUAGGUGGGAGGCUUUGAAGUGUGGACGCCAGUCUGCAUGGAGCCGACCUUGAAAUACCACCCUUUAAUGUUUGAUGUUCUAACGUGGACCCGUGAUCCGGGUUGCGGACAGUGUCUGGUGGGUAGUUUGACUGGGGCGGUCUCCUCCUAAAGAGUAACGGAGGAGCACGAAGGUUGGCUAAUCCUGGUCGGACAUCAGGAGGUUAGUGCAAUGGCAUAAGCCAGCUUGACUGCGAGCGUGACGGCGCGAGCAGGUGCGAAAGCAGGUCAUAGUGAUCCGGUGGUUCUGAAUGGAAGGGCCAUCGCUCAACGGAUAAAAGGUACUCCGGGGAUAACAGGCUGAUACCGCCCAAGAGUUCAUAUCGACGGCGGUGUUUGGCACCUCGAUGUCGGCUCAUCACAUCCUGGGGCUGAAGUAGGUCCCAAGGGUAUGGCUGUUCGCCAUUUAAAGUGGUACGCGAGCUGGGUUUAGAACGUCGUGAGACAGUUCGGUCCCUAUCUGCCGUGGGCGCUGGAGAACUGAGGGGGGCUGCUCCUAGUACGAGAGGACCGGAGUGGACGCAUCACUGGUGUUCGGGUUGUCAUGCCAAUGGCACUGCCCGGUAGCUAAAUGCGGAAGAGAUAAGUGCUGAAAGCAUCUAAGCACGAAACUUGCCCCGAGAUGAGUUCUCCCUGAGACUUUAGGUCUCCUGAAGGAACGUUGAAGACGACGACGUUGAUAGGCCGGGUGUGUAAGCGCAGCGAUGCGUUGAGCUAACCGGUACUAAUGAACCGUGAGGCUUAACCUU
rnacentral:rRNA from 1 species